AUUUCGGCAAAAGUGAAAAAUCAUUCACAUAACCCACCCAGUCACACACCCAGUCGCACACACACUUCUCAUUGUCGCAGCUUCGGCACACGUGCUGCGGAAUGGCUAAAGAAUGGCAAAAAUGGCAGUGAUGUGGCCUUAACACCACUUUGGUGGGGCUGGCUCACCACAAACACUAGGUUAUAAUUUACUCAAAGAAAAAAGAGCUGCUGUUGGUGGAAAAUGGAAACUUUUACCAUUGGACCACAAUAACCAGCUAAAUAACAAGCUCUUGGAAAACCAGGAAAACAGCCAACUAUUUAGCAUACCACGUAGCCCGAGAAGGAAAUUUAAUUAAUUUACUCCGCCUGGUCAUCCUGUGAGCAUUUGUCUCAUGGCCUGGACAAGCCAUAAACUGGAAAGUUACGAGUAUUUUCAGCAGCUGCAGCUACUUCAUUAUGUGACUGAUGAUGUACAGCAGAGUUCCAUGGAAGUUAUCAGGCUUUUUUUUCCCUCCAUUUUUGAUGUCUUUACUUGAGCGCGCGAAAGGAUGGACGGAAGCAUCCAGCUUGUCUUUAUGGCCGUCAAGGAGCGAUGUUCAAGGAAAACUUUCCAGAAUGGCGCCGGCGAGAGGCAAAAAUACAAAAAAAAAAAAGAAUACGAAAAUUGGCACAU
rnacentral:lncRNA from 1 species